AAAAGGUGCAAGUCAAGCUGUUGACAUUUACUUUAAAACUUUACCCUUUGCACUUCAGUCCUGUCUCAUCUUUUUAGUGAUACGUAUUUAUCACAUGCCCACUAGUAUGUUGCAGCCACACUAAGUUACUUACCCGACUCAACUAGACUAGGCUGUUGUGUUUUUGCCUGUGCUGUAUUAUGUCCUAUAAGGCUAUCUCUCUAAUGACCAGGCCCUCAUCCUUCAAGAUGCAGAGCAAGGCUGCCUCCAUUAGUCAGCUCUCCUCCACCCUGUUCCUGACCCCUGACGGAAGUAACUUCUCCUUAUGUUCCAUUUCAUUCGUUCUACUUGGGUGUAAUGAAUCGAAUAUAUGAUUGUCUCUUUUCCAAGACCUUGAAGAAUUUCGGGGAACUUUAUUUUUGGUGUCUCCAGUACCUGGCAAACUGCCUGAUUCAUAAUCGAAGUUUGAGAAAUACUUCUCAUAUUACAAGGAAGCAGACAAUGAGCCGUGAGAGAGUCGGGAGGAAAACCAGGUUUCCAUGGCAACAGUGGCAGCAAUUCUGUGAAGAGCUCUGCCAGUCUUCCUUCAAGACUUCCAGGCCGUGAGAUUGUUUUGCUUUUAAAAGCUAUUCUUUCUUUUAAAAAUAAUGCAUGUAUUUAGAUUCGUUUUGAGGAGAUAUCUAUGAGAUUAGGUAUUUUGCCAGGAUGGUAGUCCAAAUAAGUAAACGUUUUUGCUACCAACAGGCUGUAUGAUAUUCGGUAGGUCUGUU
rnacentral:lncRNA from 1 species